rnacentral:ncRNA from 1 species
AAUUCAUGUUUCCGUGGCCGGGCGGGGCGUUCAGACUGCCCGGCUGAACAAGAGAACCAGACUGCCCGGCUGAACAAGAGAACGGGGUGCGAGUCCCCACGCUGCCGGCACUGUAAGUGUCGAGACGGCCUGCCGUUGGUGAAAGCCAGUCAUUGGAGAAUUCCGAGAAGGCAGACAGGCCGCCGCUCGAGACACAAGUCAGGAGACCUACGGAAACAGACAGCGGCCG